rnacentral:rRNA from 1 species
UACGUAGGGUGCAAGCGUUGUCCGGAAUUAUUGGGCGUAAAGAGCUCGUAGGCGGUCUGUCGCGUCGGCUGUGAAAACUCGGGGCUCAACUCCGAGCUUGCAGUCGAUACGGGCAGGCUAGAGUUCGGCAGGGGAGACUGGAAUUCCUGGUGUAGCGGUGAAAUGCGCAGAUAUCAGGAGGAACACCGGUGGCGAAGGCGGGUCUCUGGGCCGAAUGACGCUGAGGAGCGAAAGCGUGGGGAGCGAACAGG